AUACUUACCUGGCAGGGGAGAUAUCAUGAUCACAAAGGUGGUUUUCCCAGGGCGAGGCUUAUCCAUUGCACUCCGGAUGUGCUGACCCCUGCGAUUUCCCCAAAGGUCGGAAACUCGAUUGCAUAAUUUGUGGUAGUGGGGGACUGCAUGCGCCCUCUUCCCUG
rnacentral:snRNA from 1 species